AAAUUGAAGAGUUUGAUCAUGGCUCAGAUUGAACGCUGGCGGCAGGCCUAACACAUGCAAGUCGAGCGGUAGCACAGAGAGCUUGCUCUCGGGUGACGAGCGGCGGACGGGUGAGUAAUGUCUGGGAAACUGCCUGAUGGAGGGGGAUAACUACUGGAAACGGUAGCUAAUACCGCAUAACGUCGCAAGACCAAAGUGGGGGACCUUCGGGCCUCAUGCCAUCAGAUGUGCCCAGAUGGGAUUAGCUAGUAGGUGGGGUAAUGGCUCACCUAGGCGACGAUCCCUAGCUGGUCUGAGAGGAUGACCAGCCACACUGGAACUGAGACACGGUCCAGACUCCUACGGGAGGCAGCAGUGGGGAAUAUUGCACAAUGGGCGCAAGCCUGAUGCAGCCAUGCCGCGUGUAUGAAGAAGGCCUUCGGGUUGUAAAGUACUUUCAGCGAGGAGGAAGGCGUUAAGGUUAAUAACCUUGGCGAUUGACGUUACUCGCAGAAGAAGCACCGGCUAACUCCGUGCCAGCAGCCGCGGUAAUACGGAGGGUGCAAGCGUUAAUCGGAAUUACUGGGCGUAAAGCGCACGCAGGCGGUCUGUCAAGUCGGAUGUGAAAUCCCCGGGCUCAACCUGGGAACUGCAUUCGAAACUGGCAGGCUAGAGUCUUGUAGAGGGGGGUAGAAUUCCAGGUGUAGCGGUGAAAUGCGUAGAGAUCUGGAGGAAUACCGGUGGCGAAGGCGGCCCCCUGGACAAAGACUGACGCUCAGGUGCGAAAGCGUGGGGAGCAAACAGGAUUAGAUACCCUGGUAGUCCACGCCGUAAACGAUGUCGACUUGGAGGUUGUGCCCUUGAGGCGUGGCUUCCGGAGCUAACGCGUUAAGUCGACCGCCUGGGGAGUACGGCCGCAAGGUUAAAACUCAAAUGAAUUGACGGGGGCCCGCACAAGCGGUGGAGCAUGUGGUUUAAUUCGAUGCAACGCGAAGAACCUUACCUACUCUUGACAUCCAGAGAACUUAGCAGAGAUGCUUUGGUGCCUUCGGGAACUCUGAGACAGGUGCUGCAUGGCUGUCGUCAGCUCGUGUUGUGAAAUGUUGGGUUAAGUCCCGCAACGAGCGCAACCCUUAUCCUUUGUUGCCAGCGAUUAGGUCGGGAACUCAAAGGAGACUGCCAGUGAUAAACUGGAGGAAGGUGGGGAUGACGUCAAGUCAUCAUGGCCCUUACGAGUAGGGCUACACACGUGCUACAAUGGCAUAUACAAAGAGAAGCGACCUCGCGAGAGCAAGCGGACCUCAUAAAGUAUGUCGUAGUCCGGAUUGGAGUCUGCAACUCGACUCCAUGAAGUCGGAAUCGCUAGUAAUCGUAGAUCAGAAUGCUACGGUGAAUACGUUCCCGGGCCUUGUACACACCGCCCGUCACACCAUGGGAGUGGGUUGCAAAAGAAGUAGGUAGCUUAACCUUCGGGAGGGCGCUUACCACUUUGUGAUUCAUGACUGGGGUGAAGUCGUAACAAGGUAACCGUAGGGGAACCUGCGGUUGGAUCACCUCCUUA
rnacentral:rRNA from 1 species